GGGCCGUUGGCGCAGUUGGUAGCGCGCUUCAUUUGCAAUGAAGAGGUCGCCGGUCCGAAUCCGGCACGGUCCA
rnacentral:tRNA from 1 species